GACCAAAAGUUUGCUGUCUGAGCGUUCAGGAUGAAACCAACGCUGAAGCUGCAUGAAGCGGAGAGGUCUUUGAAUGCAUCGUUUGAUCUGUGAGGUCUGUGAAUGCAUCGUUUGAUCUGUGAGGUCUUUGAAUGCAUCGUUUGAGCUGUGAGGUCUUUCAAUGCAUCGUUUGAUCUGAGAGGUCUUUCAAUGCAUCGUUUGAUCUGAGAGGUCUUUCAAUGCAUCGUUUGAGCUGUGAGGUCUUUGAAUGCAUCAUUUGAGCUGUGAGGUCUUUGAAUGCAUCGUUUGAUCCAGGACUCACAGAGAGGAGCAGCUCUUCAUGUCAGCUUGAUGAGUAGAGAUCAGCCGUUAUGUUUGGUCUGUC